UGAUGCAGACAAGAAUUGUUCAUGGGUGGUUCCAGAUAACACAAUCAAUUCGCCGAAAAAUGUGCUGAUGUGCUGCUUUCUGGUACAAAGCUCCCACUGGCAUUCCACGAGCACGAAGAGUAAUGAUUACGAGCCCUUUCCAGCGCCAUGGAAGAAAACUCACUUCUCUGAAAGGCAUAUGAAACCCUGCACUUCUCAAGCCCUUUGUGGCUGGAUGGGGCCGUGUGACGAGCCUUGAUGGCAUUGUAAUGACACACUUCAUUCCAGGCUGAGACAGUGAAUGCCCACGCAUGAUUCUCUAGGUUCCCUCUUGCCCUGCCGAGGCGAUCACAGAGAAGGUCUUAUGCUGAGAUGGCAGGUCCAAAAGAUCGAAGCAGCCUGGAUAACUCGGUUACCACACAGAGGACAACUGCCCUAGGGAGCUGCCUGGACCCACAAAGGACUCUGCAUGAGGGAGAACUGAACUUUCAUUGUAUACGCCUCUGAGAUCUUUGGGUUGCUUGUUACUGCAGCAUAACUUAGCCCAUCCUUACUAAUAUAAAAAGUCCUGUUCAAAACCAUCCUCAAACCCUGUUCAGCUGUAGAGUUCAUGCUUAACCACUCAAACCUUAGGACACCCAAGAAUCUUUCUCAGGCACAUUGGCCUAAGCAGGAAAUUCUGCUGAAAAAUUCAUCCAAUUGUUUCAUGAAACAAAACCUUUUAAGCCCCAUGGAGACUUAGCUUGAGAGUCCAGGGAAGAGAGA
rnacentral:lncRNA from 1 species